AACGAACGCUGGCGGCAGGCCUAACACAUGCAAGUCGAGCGAGGACUUCGGUCCUAGCGGCGGACGGGUGAGUAACGCGUGGGAACGUGCCCUUUGCUACGGAAUAGCCCCGGGAAACUGGGAGUAGUACCGUAUGUGCCCUUCGGGGGAAAGAUUUCUCGGCAAAGGAUCGGCCCGCGUUGGAUUAGGUAGUUGGUGGGGUAAUGGCCUACCAAGCCGACGAUCCAUAGCUGGUUUGAGAGGAUGAUCAGCCACACUGGGACUGAGACACGGCCCAGACUCCUACGGGAGGCAGCAGUGGGGAAUCUUAGACAAUGGGGGAAACCCUGAUCUAGCCAUGCCGCGUGAGCGAUGAGGGCCUUAGGGUUGUAAAGCUCUUUCAGUGGGGAAGAUAAUGACGGUACCCACAGAAGAAGCCCCGGCUAACUCCGUGCCAGCCGCCGCCGUAACAC
rnacentral:rRNA from 1 species